CCUUCACAUAUAUAUCUAUAUACACAUAUAAAUAUAUAUAGCCAAAGCUCUCAGUAUCUCACGCUGCAGCCAAUGGAGGAGGAGAUCCAAGUCCAAGGGCCAGUGAAAGUGCAUCAAAAAUCAAAGUCGUUCUGGAUCUUUUGACAAUUUUUUGGGUAUACAAUAUUCCGGCACACAGAUACAAGUUUGCAGUGUUUUUUAACUGAAAUUGCCACACGCAAGCCAUCUCCGUCGCUUUGUCACGUUAAGAUGCGACCAAGGGAAGAAUCCGGGAGGAGGAGCAGCAGCAGGAGAGAAGAACCGUCUGAAGAUUUGGCCUGGUCUGCGGCGAACAAGAGAUUCCUGGUUUCGGGUCCGGGUCUGAGCCUGUAAUUUUGUAUUGACAUUGGGUCAUUUGAUACAGUUUUCCAGCUCAUUUGCUUGUAAUUGGGCACCGAAGAGUCGCCCCAGACUCCGCAUGGAAUCUGUAGAGAGGGGGCACCGUCUCGGCCUCCAUCCCCAUUCUCCUGCGGGGCUCAGGUUGACGACUUUUCAAAUUAUCAGAAAUACUUGUGGACUUGUAUAUUUAUUAAUCGGGAUUUCGUGUGAAAGAUGCAUCCAUACUCUUGGCCAGAGCCCUACUCCAGCUCCUUAAUGUCAACGACGUCGGUGGUGUUGGCAUCACUUCAUUUCAGAGGGACAAGUCCUUUUGGCCUUUUUUUUACCACAUUUUCGGCAGUGGCUUUUUGGCUUUCGGUUUUGGGACUGCCACCUGCAUUGACUGCGAUUUUUUUUGUCCGGGAUGCAAGGAUUAGUUUUUCUGAGUGCGGAAGCGAAGGAGCGUGGGCAACCCAAUUUCCAAAGUCAAAAGUGGCACCAGAUGACGGCGUGCGCCGCCGUCCUUUUCGGAUCUGAUCCCAAGACAAAGCGAGAUGGAUAUAUAUAGAGGGAGAAAGAGGUCCUGCAGGAGGAGGAUCGGUCAAAAGAUGGCAUAUGUUGCCAUGCUGUCCCGUUCUGGCCACCGUUCUGCACUUAAGAUCCUUCUCGCUGGCUUUCACUCGCACGCCACGCGGCUCGUCCUGCAGACAGCAAAUAAUAAUAACAACACUGCCGAUCCCGAUAAUUCCUUAUUGUCAGGAGGAAGACGCGCCAGUUGGUCGCAGGUCGCAGUUCCUGGAUACUCCCCUAUACAUUCUACAUACAUAGUAGUCAACAGCUACAUAUACUCAGAUAUCCUGGGGGCGAGAUCCUCUCCAGGUUUGCUUUAGAUUUGGGGUCUAGUUACAGUUACCCGAAAGUUCAGCGGUAGCACUAUUAAAGCCGCAUCAAUCAAAAUUAUAGAAAAUCCGGCAGCGAUUUCCUUAAACGCCAUCCAGACACGUAAGGCAAACUCCAAAGGGGCCGGCCGCCGAUUUUGGUUUGGGGUAAGAGCAUAUAGCCUGCGCCAAGGUAAAAACCAUUAAAUUCAUAUUAAUAUGAAUAUGAGCUCUCUGACCAUCGACGCCGCCAAAAUAUUGAGUUCUCAGCCGUCUUUUUUGUAAAAGAACUAGUCUGUUUUGGGUUGCCAAAUUAAGAACAAAUUAUAAAUAAAGAUAAUCUUCCUUA